CUAGCUGUAAACGAUGGAUACUAGGCGUUGAGAGUAUCGACCCUCUCAGUGUCGUAGCUAACGCGUUAAGUAUCCCGCCCGGGGAGUACGCGCGCAAGCGUGAAACUCAAAGGAAUUGACGGGGGCCCGCACAAGCGGUGGAGUAUGUGGUUUAAUUCGAUGCAGCGCGAAGAACCUUACCAGGGCUUGACAUGUCCGGAACCCUGCCCAAAGGCGGGGGUGCCUACGGGAACCGGAACACAGGUGGUGC
rnacentral:rRNA from 1 species